GCGUUGUUCGGAAUUACUGGGCGUAAGGCGCACGUAGGCGGCUUUGUAAGUUAGAGGUGAAAGCCCGGAGCUCAACUCCGGAACUGCCUUUAAGACUGCAUCGCUUGAAUCAUGGAGAGGUCAGUGGAAUUCCGAGUGUAGAGGUGAAAUUCGUAGAUAUUCGGAAGAACACCAGUGGCGAAGGCGACUGACUGGACAUGUAUUGACGCUGAGGUGCGAAAGCGUGGGGAGCAAACAGG
rnacentral:rRNA from 1 species